CGGGAAAUAGCUCAGCUUGGUAGAGCACUUGCUUCGGGAGUAAGGGGUCGCAGGUUCAACUCCUGUUUUCCCGA
rnacentral:tRNA from 1 species